AGAUAGUGAACUUGUAGUUGGUUCUUGGAAGGUGACAAGGUUGAGGCAUAGAACACAUUGCUUAAAAGCAAUUUAUGUUAUCAAAGCUCAAAGAUCACAUAUGUACACCUUGUCAGCUUUGACGUCAUUGGAGAAAAUGUAUCAAACAAAAACUGCUGUUCAAAUAUUCUACUACUGGAAGUACAAAUUAUUAUUACCAAUACAGACACGUGGAAAGGCCUCUGGCAAGUCCCCGUAGAUAGUGCCAUAAGUACUAUUUUCGAGGUUGAUUAUGCAUUUCGUUUGUCCUUGGAUGAGUCAGCAGCCCUAAUGGCAGGGAGUGUGGGUGGACGUGGGUGUGCAUUGACGCAGUUAGGUAGAUCUGGCCCUGGUCUUUACCAUCAUAGUCACCAGUCAGCCUGUCUCUCCGUUCCACACACAUCGCGUGAACUUUCCCUUGGAUUAAAUGCUCAAUUACUAUUAAAUUACGUAUUCCUAUGUAGAAGAAACGUGGAACAUCAGCAAGUCAAAUGGGGAAAAACCUAUUCCCAGCCAUUGAACUAUAGUACACUCAAGCAGGCACAACAACAACAGCACCACACACAACUUGGAGUAAUUAGAAAGCGCGCGCAAUUACGAUAAUGAUUAUAUUCCAUUCAUGAUUUUUAAGGAAAUAGUUUCCAAAAACUUAAGAGAAUUGACAGGGGAUGCAGAUGAAAAAUUCAAAAAAUAAACGUAAAGCAAAUAACGGGACAGGUGCAAC